AAACACCAAUUCAUACCACAAAAUUGCAAACCCUUUUAACACCAACUCUUAUCACAAAAUUGCAAACCCAUUCAAACGGACACACCAACACUUUACGAUGUGAAUCGCAGUGAGUUUGUUCGAGUUCGUCGAUUGAGGUUGCUUACCAGUAGAUUUGAUAUUUAGCUCAGUUGAUUGCGUCUGCUUCUCUCCAGGUGUUGAAAAUGAAGAAAGGGAAGGCAUGGCAGUGAAGACCUUACUCAAGAAGAUAUUUCACUUGAGAAGAUUUUUGGAUUUUUUUGCAAGCUUUAGAUGUUCUAGGAAUAUUUUGCUAUUGACAUUUUGGAACUUCAUGCACACUCUUUAAAUGUAAAACUUUUAUGUAGUUGGGUUUUAACAUUUUGCUUUUAUGGAUAUUAUAACUAGCUUGUGGACAAUAUGUAUUAUGAAAAGUUUCAUUUUGUGAUUUUAUAUAAUUUGUAGUGCAUUAUAAAUUAUUUAUAAAC